GACGAACGCUGGCGGCAGGCCUAACACAUGCAAGUCGAACGAGUGGCGGACGGGUGAGUAAUGUCUGGGACACUGCCUGAUGGAGGGGGAUAACUACUGUAAACGGUAGCUAAUCCCGCAUACCAUCGGAUGUGCCCAGAUGGGAUUCGCUAGUAGGUGGGGUAAAGGCUCACCUAGGCGACGAUCCCUAGCUGGUCUGAGAGGAGGACCAGCCACACUGGAACUGAGACACGGUCCAGACGCCUACGGGAGGCAGCAGUGGGGAAUAUUGCACAAUGGGCGCAAGCCUGAUGCAGCCAUGCCGCGUGUAUGAAGAAGGCCUUCGGGUUGUAAAGUACUUUCAGCGGGGAGGCGUUACCCGCAGAAGAAGCACCGGCUAACUCCGUGCCAGCAGCCGCGGUAAUUC
rnacentral:rRNA from 1 species